CGGGAUGUGGCGCAGUUGGUAGCGUGCUACGUUCGGGACGUAGAGGUCGCAGGUUCGAAUCUUGUCAUCCCGA
rnacentral:tRNA from 2 species